GUGGCUAUAAAUUAGUCUGGGUGCGGGGUGUCUGAGGGAUUCAGAUCGAGUUUCCAAUUUUUCUCCAGUUGCUCUCCCUUCUUUCUUACAACCUAUUAUAGUUUUAGGACAAGGCUUUUGGGAUUUAAGACAAAGCCUUAUCUAGUCCUAAUAAGGGUUGUGAGGGUUUUAAAGAAGGAGAAUCAGAAGUCCAGAGGAGGUUCUGAGAGAGUGGAGUCAGGUUCUUGAAGAAAUCUGACCGGUAUGAGGCUAGUCGAGUUCUAGGG
rnacentral:lncRNA from 1 species